UACGUAGGGUGCAAGCGUUAAUCGGAAUUACUGGGCGUAAAGCGUGCGCAGGCGGUUAUGCAAGACAGAGGUGAAAUCCCCGGGCUCAACCUGGGAACUGCCUUUGUGACUGCAUGGCUAGAGUACGGUAGAGGGGGAUGGAAUUCCGCGUGUAGCAGUGAAAUGCGUAGAUAUGCGGAGGAACACCGAUGGCGAA
rnacentral:rRNA from 1 species